rnacentral:sRNA from 1 species
AUUUUAUAGUGACAAAGAGGCUAAAAACAACUGAGAGAACUUCAGUAUAUUUAGUUGCAGUUGCUUUGUGAGUCAGGGCAGUUGCAUUUGGAAUUCCCUCCCAGAUUAUGUUUUCCAAAGGGAAAUCAAACCCAAUUAAUAAAUCUGUGUCUCCAUUUCAGGUCAAAGGAAAAAUGAUAAUGAAUUCAUUGAGCCUCUUUGCUGCCAUUUCUGGAAUGAUUCUUUCAAUCAUGGACAUACUUAAUAUUAAAAUUUCCCAUUUUUUAAAAAUGGAGAGUCUGAAUUUUAUUAGAGCUCACACACCAUAUAUUAACAUAUACAACUGUGAACCAGCUAAUCCCUCUGAGAAAAACUCCCCAUCUACCCAAUACUGUUACAGCAUACAAUCUCUGUUCUUGGGCAUUUUGUCAGUGAUGCUGAUCUUUGCCUUCUUCCAGGAACUUGUAAUAGCUGGCAUCGUUGAGAAUGAAUGGAAAAGAACGUGCUCCAGACCCAAAUCUAACAUAGUUCUCCUGUCAGCAGAAGAAAAAAAAGAACAGACUAUUGAAAUAAAAGAAGAAGUGGUUGGGCUAACUGAAACAU